rnacentral:rRNA from 1 species
GACUCUCGGCAACGGAUAUCUCGGCUCUCGCAUCGAUGAAGAACGUAGCGAAAUGCGAUACUUGGUGUGAAUUGCAGAAUCCCGUGAACCAUCGAGUCUUUGAACGCAAGUUGCGCCCCAAGCCAUAAGGCCGAGGGCACGUCUGCCUGGGUGUCA